UACGUAGGGUGCGAGCGUUAAUCGGAAUUACUGGGCGUAAAGCGUGCGCAGGCGGUUUGUUAAGACAGAUGUGAAAUCCCCGGGCUUAACCUGGGAACUGCAUUUGUGACUGGCAAGCUAGAGUAUGGCAGAGGGGGGUAGAAUUCCACGUGUAGCAGUGAAAUGCGCAGAGAUGUGGAGGAAUACCGAUGGCGAAGGCAGCCCCCUGGGCCAAUACUGACGCUCAUGCACGAAAGCGUGGGGAGCAAACAGG
rnacentral:rRNA from 1 species